rnacentral:rRNA from 1 species
CGGGGGGAGCAAGCGUUGUUCGGAUUUACUGGGCGUAAAGGGCGUGUAGGCGGCCACCGCAAGUCAGUUGUGAAAGCUCUGGGCUUAACCCAGAAAGGUCAACUGAUACUGCGGGGCUAGAGUGCAGAAGGGGCAACUGGAAUUCUCGGUGUAGCGGUGAAAUGCGUAGAUAUCGAGAGGAACACCUGCGGCGAAGGCGGGUUGCUGGGCUGACACUGACGCUGAAACGCGAAAGCUAGGGGAGCGAACGGGAAUAGAUACCCCGGUAGUCCUAGCCUUAAACGAUGUAUGCUUGGUGUCUGGGGUUUUAUAGUCCCCGGGUGCCGUCGCUAACGCUUUAAGCAUUCCGCCUGGGGAGUACGGUCGCAAGACUG